UGUUACAUUUUAAGGAUAUUUUUUUACGUUUCAUAAGGUCUGAUACCGAAAGAUUUCUUGUGUAAUAUGAACUCAUGUUGUGUGUAAGGUGCACUCAUGCUGUGUGUAAGAUGAACUCAUGUUGUGUGUAAUGUGAACUCAUGUUGUGUGUAAGGUGCACUCAUGUUGUGUGUAAUGUGAACUCAUGUUGUGCGUAAGGUGCACUCAUGUUGUGUGUAAUGUGAACUCUUGUUGUGCGUAAGGUGCACUCAUGUUGUGUGUAAUGUAAACUCAUGUUAUGUGUAAGGUGCACUCAUGUUGUGUGCAAUGUGAACUCUUGUUGUGUGUAAUGUGAACUCAUGUUGUGUGUAAGAUGCACUCAUGCUGUGUGUAAUGUGAACUCAUGGUGUGUGUAAGGUGCACUCAUGUUGUGUGUAAUGUGAACUCUUGUUGUGUGUAAUGUGAACUCAUGUUGUGUGUAAGGUGCACUCAUGUUGUGUGUAAUGUGAACUCUUGUUGUGUGUAAGGUGCACUCAUGUUGUGCGUAAGGUGAACUCAUGUUGUUGGUAAGGUAAAACUCAUGUUGUUGGUAAGAUGUACUCAUGUUGUUGGUAAGGUGAACUCAUGUUGUUGGUAAGGUGAACUCAUGUUUUUGGUAGGGUGAAACUCAUGUUGUUGGUAAGGUUAACUCAUGUUGUUGGCAAUGUGAACUCAUGUUAUGGUAAGGUGAACUCAUGUUGUUGGUAAGGUUAACUCAUGUUGUUGUAAGGUGAACUCAUGUUGUUGGUAAGGUGAACUCAUGUUGUUGGUAAGGUUAACUCAUGUUGUUGGUAAGGUGAAACUCAUGUUGUUGGUAAGAUGAACUCAUGUUGUUGGUAAGGUGAACUCAUGUUGUUGGUAAGAUAAACUUAUGUUGUUGGUAAGACGAACUCAUGUUGUGUGUAAUGAGAUCUCAUGUUGUGUGUAAUAUGAACUCAUGUUGUGCGCAAUAUGAACUCAUGUU